UCGGGAAUUUUGGGCAAUGGGCGAAAGCCUGACCCAGCAACGCCGCGUGAAGGAUGAAGUAUUUCGGUAUGUAAACUUCGUAAGAAUAGGAAGAAUAAAUGACGGUACUAUUUGUAAGGUCCGGCUAACUACGUGCCAGCAGCCGCGGUAAUACGUAGGGACCAAGCGUUGUUCGGAUUUACUGGGCGUAAAGGGCGCGUAGGCGGUUUGUCAAGUCAGUUGUGAAAUCUCCGAGCUUAACUCGGAACGGUCAACUGAUACUGUCAAACUAGAGUACAGAAGGGGCAAUCGAAAUUCUUGGUGUAGCGGUGAAAUGCGUAGAUAUCAAGAGGAACACCUGAGGCGAAGGCGGGUUGCUGGGCUGAUACUGACGCUGAAGCGCGAAAGCUAGGGUAGCAAACGGGAUUAGAUACCCACGUAGUCCCUGAGCGGGCUGGCAAGGCGCAU
rnacentral:rRNA from 1 species